AGUCUCGCGACUCCUGCUUGCUGGGCGCGGCUUGGGCCUCCAGGCUGCGCAGCGCAGCCGCUAUCGGGCGGACUGCAGUUCUUGCCGAGCAGUCGCAAUGAUUUGUAUGACAGCUGCUAGCCCAAGAGAGAGUUCCAGAAGAGGGCUACCUAACAGGUGCUGUGGCAUUUAGAAGAGGAAUGGAGCCAUUGUCAACGCACAGCUUGCAGGGGAGCAGGAGAGUCAGUCUAAGAAGGAAAUGUGAUGAUGGAAACAGAGGUUGGAAGAUGGAAGAGGACCCAGAGUCAAGGAAUGCAGGUAGAAAAGAAAAGCCUGGAUUCUCCCCUAAAGCCUCCAGAUGGAACACAGCCCUGCCUCCACCUUGAUUUCAGGACUUCUUACCCCAAGAAUCAAGAUGUCAGUACCAUGGAAUGACAUGACCAACAAUAAUAUGUUGCAACUCUGAGAUACAGCUAGAAAUUCUCCGAAUAAGAUGCUGAUGGUCCUGCAGUCCAAUGCUGUGUGAUUUUCACUGUGGCCAGCUAUACAAGACUUAGCGUAUACUUCUCUCUGUGUAACUGUAAAAAAUUUUGUAAGUCUAAGAGGGUAAUAUAUUCUUUCAUAAAACCUCAAUCUAGUGAGUUCUAAUCAUUCUUGAUCUUUCUCAAAUAAAUACUAGUCAAAUCUUUCCCAAUAACUAAGUAACUAAGCAUUCACGUUUUACAACUGUAAUGUAGUUUUGGUAUGAGAAAACUAUUUCCUGGUCUCCAGGAUCUAGAAAGUAAACAUGUAACAAACAAUUAGGAAUGUGGUAUCGGGUAGUCAGAUGUUCUACACGUCUCCAGCCUAAGCUGUCCACUUCGGAUUUCUUGCUCUUUUCCUUUUUGCUUAAGCAUAUCUUGGUAUGUUGCCUGGAAGUUUAUGUGUGUUACUACAGCAGAACAAAGAAUUAUGUAAUAUAAAGCCCAACUUGUUUUUCUUUUCCCUACCAGCUGUACUAUAACUUAGACAAAACUCAACCAUUUUCUUUCAUUAUGUACAGUGGCUAUUAAAAAGAAAGGAUGUAGAAAAAUUUUUUUCAGGAAACAGUGGAAAACUAAUGCGUCAUGAUCUGCUUAACAGGGGACUGUAAAUAGAAGCAAGUCCAGAUCAUGGAAAUUGCUUCUUUAAAAUAUUUUUUUUCAAUUUUAAAAGGAAUACAUUCACAUGGUUUAAAAAAACCCCUCAAACUAAAGAAGAAUACAGAAUAAGAAGUAAAAGUUCUACCCUCCAACCUACUACCCCAACUCCUGAAUCCCACUGCCAAGAGAAACAGUCAUUUGUUGUGCAUCUUUCUAGAAGAAUUCUAUGCAUAUUACAGAGGUGUCACAAAUACCCACAUGCUUUCUUCCCUUACAAGCUCUGUGACUUGAUUUUUCUCUUUACUGUGCUUUAAGCAUCUUUGCAUAUUAGUAAACAUAUACACCUCAGUUAAAAAAAAUCAACAGCUGGGUGUAGUGGUGCAUACCUGUAGUCCCAGCAAUUUGGGAGGCAGAGAGGCAGGAAGAUCCCCUGAGCCCAGGAAUUCUAAUCUACCCUGGGCAUCUUGGCAAGACCCUGUCUCUUAAGAAAAAAACUAUCGCAAGAACAAAAAACCAAACACCGCAUAUUCUCACUCAUAGGUGGGAAUUGAACAGUGAGAUCACAUGGACACAGGAAGGGGAAUAUCACACUCUGGCGACUGUUGUGGGGUGGGGGGAGGGGGGAGGGAUAGCAUCGGGGGAUAUACCUAAUGCUAGAUGACGAGUUAGUGGGUGCAGCGCACCAGCAUGGCACGUGUAUACAUAUGUAACUAACCUGCACAAUGUGCACAUGUACCCUAAAACUUAAAGUAUAAUAAAAAAAAAAGAAAAAAAUCAAAAGCUUUAUAGUAUUCUGUUGAGUAAGAGUAUUAUUAUUUGUUUAUACAACCUCUUUUUGGUGAACAUUUGAAUUGUGUUUAGAUAGUUACUAAUGCAAACAAUACUUCCAGUGAACUUUUGUAAAUAUAUAUUUGUAUAUAUAAGAGAAUAAAUCUUAUACCUGCAGAGUAAAUUUCUAAAAGUGAAUCACUAAUUCUGAGAUUAUGUGCAUCUCCAGAGAUGUUAACAAACAUACACACCCAGCAACAGUGCAAGACAGUGUAUUUCCCAACUGCUCCCUCACUGAGAUUUUUAAAAAACAUAUAAAUACUAUUAUAAGUUACCUCUGGAGUUAAAGAAUAACUUUUGCUUUUUACUUUCAUAGACAUCUGUACUAUGUAAACUUGAUAUAGUGAGGAUGUUUUCUUUUGUAAUUAAAAGAUUAAAGAGAUUCAGAAUACUUGUUUGUAAUUGGUUUUGGAAUGAAAUUUCACUUGGAAAAUAAAGGCCUAGAAUAUGAGACUAUUCAUCAAUAGAAAACCAUUGUAGGGAGCAGUUAACAGGUAAAGCUCUAUUUAAUAAGGGCAAGCUGAUGGC
rnacentral:lncRNA from 1 species